AUAUCAAUAAGCGGAGGAAAAGAAACUAACAAGGAUUCCCCUAGUAACUGCGAGUGAAGCGGGAAAAGCUCAAAUUUGAAAUCUGGCGUCUCCGGCGUCCGAGUUGUAUUCUGGAGAAGCGUUUUCCGUGCUGGACCGUGUACAAGUCCCUUGGAACAGGGCGUCAUAGAGGGUGAGAAUCCCGUCUUUGACACGGACUGCCAGUGCUCUGUGAUGCGCUCUCGAAGAGUCGAGUUGUUUGGGAAUGCAGCUCAAAACGGGUGGUAAAUUCCAUCUAAAGCUAAAUAUUGGCGAGAGACCGAUAGCGAACAAGUACCGUGAGGGAAAGAUGAAAAGCACUUUGGAAAGAGAGUGAAACAGUAC
rnacentral:rRNA from 1 species